ensembl:lncRNA
AGGGUUUCACUCCGCGGUGGUUGUGUGGGAAUGGAAAAUAGCUGACGGGGAUUCAGCCUCUUCAUUUUGUCUAAAGAAGUUGGUGACUUCAUUGACUUUACUGCACGAAAUCUUCAAGCAAAACCUGUCUUCUCUAAGGAGAGUGAGGAAAGUUUCUUCAGGACUUGCAUAAGUCAAGAUGAGUAGAGUCUCACUUUCCUACACUGAGAAAUGUAUGAAGAGCAAAAAGACGAGGAGAACUGACUCAUUUUGACAGUACACCUGCACCACAGACAACUAUGGCUGAGGAACAAAAUUCUGCUUGUGCAUAGGGCUACCUAACUUCACAGUAGUGUACACACUUACAGUACAGCUUUUCACUGAGGAGAUGGAUGGCACUGAAUUUGUGAGAGAGAAGGGCUUCGAGAUGUGUUCUGGUCAAAUAAUUUGAGAGCAGUAUAUUUUGAAAUGAGCUGUUUAUCUGUCUCAUAGAGACAGCAGAGGUGUGUUAGUGGUACAGACCAUCCUGCCCGAGUCUUCCAGUAUGCUCUUACUUUGCUGUAGAAAGUGAGACCCCCCCCGCAGGUGUGAAAGCAGUGAGCCUUCAGCUCACUCAGCUGCUGGCAGCUUGUCUGAGACAGCAAGAAUGGUGCCAGCUAGUGCUGACUGCUACUGAUGGAGUCCUGAGAAGCUCUUUAGAUUAGGCACCCUACAGCAAAAAUAAAGGAGCUGCUUUAUUUUCCAGUAAUAACUCUCAAUAUAUUUCCAUUCAUGCAGAGGGGAUAACAUUCCAUUAGUUACUCCUAGAAAAAAGAUGCAAGGAAUUGUUUACGUAAAGCUCAAAGGGAAGAUUAUGUGAAUUACCAUCUGAUAAUGAAGGCACACAGAAUUAAUGAUAAAGGUACAUGCUUAUGUACGUCAGACCUUUGACUCUCUAAUCCUGCCCAAUUGCUGUGGUCAGGAUCACAGAGAUUAUUUUUGUGAGCUAUUGCUCAGCAAAAACAAAACAGAUAAACCGUAGUUUGUGGAAUUAGAUCAGCCCUGUCCUGAGGCAUUGAGCACAAAAUACAAAGCUUCUGUCAAAAAUAAAGAGAAAUAUAGCCAGCUUGUCC